rnacentral:lncRNA from 1 species
CAGGGGGUCCCGAGACUCAAAAGAAGCAUUGAAUUUUAAAAGGCAUGCAAUAAUUCUUGUGGGCGUAUGUCAAGUCAUGUAAGUUUGAAUGUAAUUAUUGGUGAAGGGGUUUCAUUUUCUGUCUCUAAAUCGAGAUACUGAUUCUUUAAGGUACAUGCCAGAAGGGAUUGCGAGAUUAACAAGUCUCCGGACAUUGGAAGAGUUCCAUUGAGUGGAGGAAGUGCUGAUGGUGGCAAAGCAUGUGGUAUAAGUAGACUGGGAAAGGUGUUAGAUGUGGGUGAGGCUACGAGAUUAGAGCUUAACCAACUGAAAUACCUCCUUAGGUUGAGACUUAAAUUUGAUGGGGAAGAAGGAGAAGAAGAAGUAAGGAGGAAGAACGUGGAUGAUCAACGUGUUCUUGAAGCCUUGCAACCACCUCUGACUUUGAAGGAAUUAGAGUUACUGUGAUACAGAGGCAACACUUUUCCCCCCUAGAUGAUGCAAAAAUUGAAGGAAUUUACCAAUUUAAGGAAUUUGACACCUUAAAACUGCAAAAAUUGUGAGCAGCUGCCUCCUUUGGGAAAAUUGGGAUCCCUUGAAAAGCUCAGCAUAUCGUACAUGGAGAGUGUGAAAAGAGUGGGUAAUGAGUUUUUUGGGGAUAGAAAGUGAUCAUUGUGACUCAUCUUCAUCUUCAUCUUCAUCGCUUAUUAUUGCCUUCCCCAAAUUGAAAUCACUUUCAGUUGAAGGAUUGAUGGAAUUGGAGGACUGGGAUUAUGGGAUUAAAAGAAUGGGAUACACCUCCAUCAACAUUAUGCCACGUCUUUCUUCCUUGGAAAUUAGUGUGGGAUUACGGGAUCGCUUUCAUGAAACAACGACGUUGAAGGUAUUGCACAUUGUGCAUGUCGUACUCUAGGAAGAUGUAACAGACAGAGGAGAAGAGCGACUGGCCUAAGAUCUCUCACAUUCCAGACACCAUGAUUGUGUGAAAGGAGGCCCUCGACAAAAUUCUCUAGGCGGCUACAUGGAGUACAAUCGUAAAAUGAUAAUGCCGCCACGCUGGUUCUUAAUUAAGGUUGUGAAAUAUUAUUGUAAAAGAUGAUUAAUUCAAUUUGAGUAAUUUGUUUGCUUUGAUAAUGAUGGUGCUAGAUUGGUGAGACAGGAUAUGGUUCAAACCCCAUUGGAUAAAGCUAUGGACAUGGUGCCUCAACUUAGCUAGAUUGCUGUCAAAAUUGGUAAGUUGGUUUGUCAAUGUAUUGAUGCUUUUGUUUUCUCUCAACUCUAUUUACCUUACCUUCAUUUAUUUGGGCUCUGGAGUUAAGAGUAAUAACUUUCGAGGUUCUCAAACAGAGCAGGACAACUGGACCCAAAAAAAGAAAAAAAAAGGAAAGAAGAAGAAGCUUAAUUUGUGCAGAUCACGUAUUGCCGUUAUUUAAGGUAAUUCUUGUUUACUUGCGUCUGCACUAUAGAGUGCGCGUUCUUGCUGGUUUCUCUAAUUCAUCAAAUGUUAUUUCCAUAUGUUUCCAUUGAUGUAUUUUUGCAUAUCAAGCAGAAACAGAACCCAAAGAAAAUGAAACCAUUUUCGGCAGCAGUUGGCAGUGAAUUCAUGCAAAUGUUGAUGCCAUUCAUAGAUAUCAAAGACGAUGACGAGCCAAAGGUGAUGCAUCAUAAAUGCAUAAUUACCAAACCUCCAUCCUUCUCUCAUUGUAAUUAGGGAUGGCAAUGGAUUGGAUUUGAUCCAAGAUCCAUGUGAUCCAAAUCCAAUCGGAUCAGAUUUGGAUCGGUUUAAAAUGGAUUUGGAUCGGAUUUGGAUAUCGAUGUGCGGAUCUAAGACGGAUCUGGGGCAGAUAUGGAUCUAUCUUAAUAUCUAAAUCCAUAUCCAUAUCCACUCAUCUUUUAAUUUUAUUUUAUUUUAAAAGUUUCUUAAUAAUUGUGGAAUGAUAAUGAUAAUAAAUUUUAUUCAUAGCAUAUUAGUAGUAUUUACCAUGUAUUUAAACUCUUAAAACUUAAAGGUUAGUUUUGUAAAUUUAAAGGUCAGCUAGCCUCAAAGCAUGUACAUGCAAUAUUCAAAUUGCAAUCCAAGUAAUAUAACCUGGUAAUUUAUUUUAUCAUAUUGGCCAAAUAAUUUUUAAGGAAUAUAGUUAUUCAUAUAUUUAGUCAAAUAUGGUCAUAAUAAAAAUAAUAAAGGACUGAAUAUAAAUCAUAUUUAAUUUAUAUGUCAUUAUCUAAUGUUGUAGGAAUGAGGGUAGGUGUAUCGUGGAUAUUAGAAUGAUGAAUGAGACAAUAGAAUAUUAGAUUGAUCUUACUCUUGCAAUUACUUCUGAAUGAUAUUUUAUUAUCUUUCUUAUUUGUUGUUUUGGUGUAGAAGUAUAAGCUACAAUAUUUAUUAUAUUUUUGAGAAAAAUUAUAUAAUUUAUUUGUUAUCAAUACAUUUUAGCCUUUAAUUUUCAAUCUAAAAAAUUAUUACUUUUUUAUUACGGAAUUUUAGAAUUCAUGACGGAUCUAGAGCAAAUUUGGAUUUUAAUUUUUUUUUCGGAUUUGGAGCAGAUAUAGAUAUUUAUUUCUUUUUUGGAUCUGGAUAUGGAGCAAAAAAUAUGGAUUCAUAACGGAUCUGGAGCAGAUACGGAUCUUAAUUUUUAUUAUGGAUUUGGAUCUGGAGCAGAGUAGAUCCAACCCAUAUCUGCCCCAUUGCCAUCCCUAAUUGUAAUUUGGUUUGAAAUGAAUUAUUGCCAGGUAAUUGAGCCGAUAUUGUUAAAAAGCGUGUUGAGCUACCAAAGCUAAGAAGUUGUUGCCAAAAAUGCGGGGGAUCACAAGAAGCAUUGCAUUUGAAAAGGAAUGAGAUUCUGGUGGCGACAUGUCAAUCCAUAUGAGUUUAAAUAAGUUUAAUGGUUCAAGAAUGUUAGCUUCUGGUUCAAUUUGUGCAUUCAGGUGCUAUGAUGCUGCUACUGGGAAAUUUGGAUCCCAUAUUCGACAUUCCUCACAUCAGGAGCUGUGGAUCUUUAGACAUCAGAUUUUAAUUUCUGUAAUGUUAAAUUUCCCAAAACAUUAAAAAAAACAAUGCUGUAUACAUGGUGAAUGAUCUGGCGUAUCUAUAGGUAUUACCCAAGACAUUUCUGAGAACCUGAACUAGGAAUCCUUGUAUUUUUCUUUAUGUCAAGACAGUGACUUGAAGAUUUUAGAUUAUUAUUUUUGGCCAUUUUAUAAUUGUUGGCAUAUUGAACUUGAGUAAUUUUGAUAAACCAUAGUUCAGGAAUGUCUGAUAGAAAUAUUGGAAACUUGAACUUGAAUAUUAGAUUUGAAAUUAAAGAGGUAAGCCAUUAAAAUACAUCAAAGGAUUUGGAAAAUGGAGGAAUUGGAAUAUUGGUAUGAUGGGAUUACAAGAAAGGGAAACUUUUGCAUCAACAUCAAGCAUUGGGCAUUUUCAUUUGUCCUAUUCUAACACCAGUUAGGAAUAUCAACAAGGAGUUGUGCUAUGAAUUAAGUAAUCUGCCAGUAAUGCAAGCAUUGAAUGUGAAGAGCUUCACAUAACUUUGAAUUAGCUUAUGAUUUAACACUAUUCCUUUUUGUAUGUGAUCAUGCAUUACGCCGUAGAUGAAAAAUUUGAGGAGUUGAUGAUGGUUGUAAAUAUAAUUGAUAGGUAGAUAAACGUUAAAUAUCGUUUUAUAAACCAACGCGAUUAGAUUACGCUUUCGAUCGAAAAUGUAAUUAAGUCUUAUUUUAAUCCAAAUAAUUCAAUGAAAUUUUGAUAAUGCUUUAUAAUGAAAUUAGAUAACGCUCUAAUUCAAACGACUCCAUAAGAAAAUAAUUUUUUUUUUUACUAUAUUGAGAAUGCAAAAAAAUAUUUACGAUUUUAUGAACUUUUAUAUAUAUAUAUUUAAUCUUUUAACUUAUUUUUUAGGGUUAUUUAUUGUCAGCCCCCACAAGUUUUGACCAUUAGCACUGGGCACGCACAAGUUUCGACCAUGUGCACCGCGCCUCCAUUUCCAUCAAACUACCGUUAACUUAACUCGAAAAAAGGGUAAAAUGAUAAUUUCAUAUAAGAUUAAAAUAAUAAAUAAAAAACAAAAAAAAAAAACACUCUUUUUUAUCCUUCACUCUUUUUCCCCCUUUUCUCUCUCUCUCACGUCUUCUUUCUUUUUUCUCUUCUUCUUCUUCGCCUCUUCUUUCUUUCCCUCUUCUUCUUCUUCUUCUUCGCGUCUUUUUUCUUUCACUCUUCUGCUUCUUUCUUCUUCGCCUUCUUCUUCUUCUUUUUUCUUCUUCUUCUUGCCUUUCACUACUGUUGCCUGCCGGUGUGAUCUGCCGCCGUCUCAAAUCAACAACAACAAAAUGGCACACGCUGCGUGAUCUACCAUCGUUUGAAGCCACCGACGCCACCGCCUGAAGCAGCCGCCAUUCCCACCGCCUCUAUAAUUUAAUUUAGGGUUUUUGAUUUUUAGUUCCUUUUUGUUAAAUUUUCUUGGUUUGGGUUUCUUUUGUAAUAGAAUUUUACAAUGAAAUUUUGGUAUAAUUAUCUUCGGUUUCUUUAUUAUUGGGUUUUGUUUGUUUUGGUGGGAUUUAGGGAAUUAUUUUGUAAUCUACUGAUGAUUUUGUGUUUGAUUUUUUUCUUAUCCUUUGGAAUACCGAAGUUAAAAAUGGCAGGAAAAUUACAAGUCUUUAAAGAUGUUUCAAUUUUGGGAGAAUUUGGCAACGACGUUACUGCAGAUAUGGAUAGGGCUAAAUUAAGGCUAAGGGUUAUGUAUUUCAGGUAACAAGGCUCCAUGAAAGAAGAGGAAAACAGAGACAGAUGGACUACGUUUGAGGAGAUUGAUUUAAGAUGAGAGAGUGGAGGGUGACUAAAGCAGAGCAGUAAUAAAGAAUUUAUCCGCAAGUUGUGAUGACCUGGUCUCCAUAAAUUAGAAACUUAAUUAUGAUGAGCCGCAUUUAUCACACACAAUUUGCCUAUUUGAACCUUGGUUUUAUGCGACUAAACACGUAGCGGUCCGAUAUAAGAUAAGAUUAUAAUAAGAUUAACAUUGCACAAAUAGAAAUUACAAUUAGAUGAAGAGCAGAUGAAAUUCAUUAACGUGCUUGAACAGUUAUUCAUUCAAUUCGAUGGCAUGCCAUAUUCAAAGGAAUUGGCGGAUCCGAAUAUGCACCACCAGCGGUUUGUUGAAAAAUGAACUUGUUAGCCACCUGAGUGAAGUGAACGCCGUCCCACACAACAUAACCUGAAGGAUCGUCGCACGGCUUCCCCAGUAGCACUUGCUUCCCGUCUGUCAUCUUGCUUCUCCACCGCUCUGUCUCUCAUCUUGAAAGUUUACUGGUUUUACAAUUUUGUUAUGAUAAUGAAUGAAGAAAAAAUCGUUUCAAUAUAAGAUAUUAUUAUUAUUAAAUUUUAUUUUUUAAUGUAAAUUUUAUAAGUUGUAAGAGGUAUUUUUGUAUUUUAAACUCAAUUCAAUUCAAAUUAGGGGUAGUAUGGUCUUUUAAGUUAAUAACAGCCUAACCAGUUAGAAUUAUCUGAUUUUUUGACGGAAAUGAGGGUGCAGUGCACAUGGUCGAAACUUGUGGGUGCGUGGUGCUAAUGGUCGAAACAUGUGGGGGCUGACGAUAAAUAACCCUAUUUUUUAUUUAAUAAAAUGAGGACUCCCUCCUUGGAAGCUAACUUCAUACAUACAUACAUACAUAUGUCUAUAUAUAUAUAUAUAUAUGACUUGGUUAUUAAUAUUUCAUUUCUACAAAUUAUAUUUAAAUCUGUCAUUUGUUUAAUUCAUAAUCUAAAAGUGAGACCUGAAAAAUUAAAUUACAAAUUGAAGAAUUUAUAUUGUAUUCCUUAUAUUUCAGUUCAUAAAAACAAUAGGAAAGCUAUUCUUCGAUGUGUCUUUCCGAAUAAAAUAAUGUUCGAAAAACAAAAUGUUUCUUUUUUGAGAAUUGAACAGUUUUUAAAUUAUUUCCGAAACAAUAUAUUUAUUGUUCACCUUAAGAAAUAAUUGAUCAGAUUUAAAUUAAAAACCAAACAUAUAUUCAAUUGCCACACCUCUUUCUCUUGAAAAUGCGAUGUUAUUAAAAUUUAAGUUUCAAUAAAUUUAUCGAAAUUAACAAUAAUUAAUAACAUGUGACAAUAUUUUAUCAAUAGUUUCCAAUAUUCACAGUUAAAAUAUAUAAAAUUACCAUCAUAUAAUUCUAUAUGAUUAAGUGCUAGUAGAUUCAACUAAUAGGCUUGGAGCUGAUCACAAAGUAAAGGCAUAUAAUCAUUUCCCUUUCUUACUUAACUAAUAUAUCAAAAUUUUAUUAUAUAAAUCUCAUCAUGUAAUUGAAAAUACUUUUAUUAUAAUUGCGAAUUAAAACUAAUUUUUUAGUUUUAUAUUAAAAUUCUCUUUGGGAAAAAAGAUAAAAAAAGAAAAAGAAAAUGAAAAGAGACCAGAAAACUACGUCGUAUUGGCGAUACAAAAUCGUUUUAACGUUGACAGAACAUCAAAUAUUCCUUUCUUUUGAUUUCGAUUUUCGCUUUUUCAAAAACGACGGCCGUUUGCUGUCUCUCCACUCUGAUUGAUAGAAACAAAGAAAAAGAAAAACACAGCGAUGAACGAGAUCUCGAGACAUCGAUCUUUUCAAUUUUUACUAUUAAUUUCAUCAAUUUGUCUACAAUUCAUCCCAGGUUCGUUCUCCUAUUCAAAAUUUUAAUUUUUAAAAAAAAAUUUUACGAUUAAUUUGCGUUAAUUGUCGCUUGGAUUGCUAAUAUUUGUGUGUUUAAAUCAUAAAAUUAUGUUUUUUAGUUUUAGGUUUUUUUUAUUUAUAUGAUUGGUUUGUGAAAUCUGUAUGGAUUUGUUUUGGUUGGUUAAUUUUCUAGGUUUUAGAAUUUAAUUGAACUUUUAGAUGAAAUGGAAAAAUCCAAAUAAACAGCAAAGAUUUCAUCUUUUUAGUGCGUAAUUUAAAAAAAAAAUUGAUUUUUUUUUUGUUCUGUUUUGUUCUUUGAUGUAAGCUUGAGAAUUUUUAAAAACAAAGCUAUAAGAAUGUUUCUAGUUGUCUUAGAACAUAUGAAUUGCAAUGAGUUGUAGGAGAAGCAAAGUGAUGGGUGAGAAUGAGAGUGUGAGAUCAUCUAUUAGUCAAGUUCUUAAGACACUAGAGGAAGAGAUUCCAGUCUGAGUUUAAUAAACUUAGUUUUGGAUUACUCCAGCAACAAAUUUUUGAGAAAGUGGCAUUGAGUAUGUACGUACAUAGAUAUUUCUCAUAAAUAUGCCAUGUAUGUGGUGUUUGAAUUGUUGAUGCAAGUCAUUGUAAGGGAUGUUUUGUGAUGAAUUGCACUAACUAAGAAUUCCAACCUUGAAUUGAUAUUCCAAGUGUUGAUUUACAAGCAUAAUUGGGAAAGCUGUGAAGUGAGUUUAAAUUAGCUUCUCAGAUCUUUAACCAUUAUGAUAAAUGCAUGAUUUGCGAUAUAACCAGAUUACUUGGAUUUUGUAUAAGCAGCCAUUAACAGAACCUUUGAGGCUGAAGCAACCAUACUAUUUCUAUCUCUUCUAGGAACUUGGCUUUGGUAGUGACUGGGACUUCGUUGUGGGUCAAAUAAAUAAAUUGGGUCGUUGUUUCAUUUUCUGUUGAAAGAGUUCACAUAGGCAUGAUCCCCACUCUUGAAUUACUUACUCCAGCACGAGAAUUGAGUAUUUCUCUGCUUAUAUGGUGUUAUUAAUUAUUUUAAGAUUGUUAGCUUAUAUUCCACAUCUUUCUUUUUUUUGUUCAGCCAUUUCCAAUGACUCAUCAAGUACAAAAAAAGGAAAACAGUCUGCAGCUCAUCAUACUUCCAGGAGCAAUACUGGGGCCAAGGUAGGCAUCAUUUUACUUGGGCUUGUGGCAGUGGGAUUAUUUUCUUUUUUCCUCUUCAAGUUAUGGCAAAAGAAGAAAAGAGAAGAGCAGUAUGCUCGUCUUUUGAAGUUGUUCGAAGAGGAUGAUGAACUUGAGGUUGAACUUGGCCUUCGGGACUGACACUUUUGAUUUUUAGAAUUCCUCGUAUUUGAGGUAUUUAUGACUAUUCACCCCAUAUAUUUCUCGGUCUCAAUUGCUAAGAUUUUGCUUCUCUCAGCAUUUUCUGCAAAUGUACUGUGUUUUUCAUAAAAAUCGGGAGCUCUUGAUUCUUAUUUAGUAACUCUCAUUUGCCUUCAUUGCUUUUGCAGGCUUCGGUGGCCAUGCUUUGUUCAGAAAACCCGUUCCUCUGGCUCUGGCGGUCUGGUGCCGUUCAAAUCAUAAAUUGUAGUAAAUAUAAUGGUUGCUUAGAUGAAAUUUUUUUCAUAAAUUACUGUCUUAAGGGAAAAGGACAAACUUUUUGUAUGAGAUGCUUGGGGGGGUCUUCUAUUCAUAGUUUGUAAAACACUUUAAAACAUGUGUAAAAGUUUUGAAUGUUUUGAUGCAUUGAAGUAACGUGAAACCAAGAGACUUAUAUUGGUGUGCCUUGAACAAACUUAAAGACCACAUUUUCAUAAGUUGUUUGCAUGAACAUAAAUUGGAUCUGAUUCAAAUCCUUUCGAGGUUGGUAGACCAAUCUUAGUUUACUAAUGGAGUUGGUUGGUAGCUUGCUUGUUCAAAAUGCU